ensembl:snRNA U6 U6 spliceosomal RNA
AUGUUCAUUUCAGCAGCACAUAUCCUAAAAUUGAAAUGAGACAGAUGAUUAGCAUGUCCCCUGCAUAAGGAUGACAGACAAACUCAUGAAGCAUUCCAUAUUUUU